rnacentral:rRNA from 1 species
GGCCAGACUCCUACGGGAGGCAGCAGUGAGGAAUAUUGGUCAAUGGCCGAGAGGCUGAACCAGCCAAGUCGCGUGAGGGAAGACGGCCCUACGGGUUGUAAACCUCUUUUGUCGGGGAGCAAAGCGAACCACGUGUGGUUCAUUGAGAGUACCCGAAGAAAAAGCAUCGGCUAACUCCGUGCCAGCAGCCGCGGUAAUACGGAGGAUGCGAGCGUUAUCCGGAUUUACUGGGUGUAAAGGGAGCGUAGACGGUUAUGUAAGUCUGGAGUGAAAGCCCGGGGCCCAACCCCGGGACUGCUCUUGGAACUGCAUGGCUGGAGUACAGGAGGGGCAGGCGGAAUUCCUAGUGUAGCGGUGAAAUGCGUAGAUAUUAGGAGGAACACCGGUGGCGAAGGCGGCCUGCUGGACUGUGACUGACGUUGAGGCCCGAAGGCGUGGGGAGCAAACAGGAUUAGAUACCCCAGUA